CCAAUAGCGUAUAUUAAAGUUGUUGCAGUUAAAAAGCUCGUAGUUGAAUUUCGGAAUCUGUCCGUUGGUCGGGCUUCACUGUCCGUACUGGUGUGGUGGGUUCUUACCUUCUGAAUAACCAGCAUGCCAUUCACUUGGUGCGUUGGGGAAGCAGGACUAUUACCUUGAAAAAAUUAGAGUGCUCAAAGCAGGCUAGUGCCUGAAUACAUUAGCAUGGAAUAAUAAAAUAGGACGGCAUGGUUCUAUUUUGUUGGUUUCUAGGAUCACCGUAAUGAUUAAUAGGGAUAGUUGGGGGCAUUAGUAUUCAAUUGUCAGAGGUGAAAUUCUUGGAUUUAUUGAAAACUAACUUCUGCGAAAGCAUUUGCCAAGGAUGUUUUCAUUAAUCAAGAACGAAAGUUAGGGGAUCGAAGACGAUCAGAUACCGUCGUAGUCUUAACCAUAAACUAUGCCGACUAGGGAUCGGACGAUGUUAAUUUUUUAAUGACUCGUUCGGCGCCUUACG
rnacentral:rRNA from 1 species